AUGCGUUGCCUGGGCUUGGCUCGAUUUUCCUCCCCCUUCCCUCCUUCCUCUCCUUCCUUCUCCUUUCCUCCCCUCUCCCCGAUGGCUGGCAGGGAAAAGGCAGCGACGCAGCACCGCAAAGGGCCGGAUCCGGAGCCCUCGGAAGGCAGCCCGGGAGCUGGUGCUCUGCAACGUGCUGGCGUGGACCUGGUGAAAAUAAUGCGCUUCGGGGAUUUCUGUGCCCACAUCAGAGCGGGGACGCAGCGACGGGACCCGUGCAGCCCCCAGGAUGCGGCGCACCAAGGUCCCAUUCCCACCCCAUGCCGUGCCCAAAUCCCCUCCAACAGCUCCUACACCCCGAAAUACACACGCCAAGCUCCUCCACGAGUCUGCCAGACCCGGGAUGAAUUUCUCCACCGGUUUCCCAGCCCGGUGCCCGGCUGGCCCUGCCCCGGCGUCCCCCCGCGCUGCUGGAGCAGGCGGCGCGAUGGAAAGUUGCUGGAACAUCAGCUUCGGCUGCAGAGUCCUGGUAACAGUUGCUAUGCGAAACAUUCAGAGGUGGAAUUUACUGUCACAGUUAAUAAUAGAUGAAGGUUUUAGAAUUUUUGAUGCUUUACAUUUUAAGCCGUUUGAUUUAUAAUGUUUCAGAAAAGGAGGGGAAAGAGCCGGGGGGGUUGGGGGGAAAAAGGCAGGAGCCGAACGGCGGCGUGUGGUAAACACGGCGAGUGGGGAGAUGGCCGGGGCAGCCUCCUCUGCCCACACGGGGCCAGGGGUGAGACCCCCAACACGGCUUUCCAUAGGGUUCCCCCCCCCAAAUCACAGGCAGCAUCCCCAUGGGAAAGCGGGGCGCAACUGGGACCGACCCCCUCAGCCUCCGGAUCGCGUUUCUUUUCCUCUUUUUUUUUUUUUCCCCCCUUCCCUCAAACCUCCGCAUCUCUCCUCAUUCCGCAGGCGCGCCCCCGCGGGCGUUCUCCUUCUGGAGGGCUGCUGGGUUAUUGACUUGCUGGCGCUGCUCUUCCCUCUCGCAGGUGUAUCUCAAGUAGUCGCCGUAAAUAGCAGCGAGCCGCGCGCCCGCGGCGGCGUGCCGGUGGGUCGUGCUGAUUAGGAAUGCGGUGCCAAAAAAAAACACAUUAAGGGGCUUCUUUCCCCUCCGCACCGCCGCCGUGUUUGCGGGAGGACACGCCGAUGCCCCGGGUCCUGCUGAGGUCUUUGGGUGGGGGGAUGCUGGAGGGGCUCUGCUGGAGAAAAAGGCACUGAAAUGUCCAAAGGGGGGUGUCCGGAGCAGGCCUACGCUCUCCUUCCUGGAAAGGAGAGGCAAGCAUAGGUGCCAGCACUGUGCAUGGGAUUGCCAUGGCCCUUGGUGUCCCUCGGUGUCCCUUGGUGACCCUCGGUGUCCCUCCGUGUCCCCCGGUGACCCUCGGUGUCCCUUGGUGUCCCUCGGUGUCCCCCGGUGGUCCCUCGGUGUCCCUUGGUGUCCUGCGAUGAGCUCCAAGGCCAUCCAACACCAGGACGCUGAGGCUCACAGCUUUCCAGCGCCUUGCUCCAGCUUCUCCUGAUUCCCGGAGCACCCCGACCCAGGCUUGAAAAACUG
ensembl:lncRNA